rnacentral:rRNA from 1 species
GCCGCGGUAAUUCCAGCUCCAAUAGCGUAUAUUAAAGUUGUUGCAGUUAAAAAGCUCGUAGUUGGAUUUCGGAACCGGCCGAUUGGUCCGUCCUCUGGAUCGUGUACUGAUCGGUCUGUUCUUCUUCGCGAAGACCGCGUGUGCCCUUAACUGGGUGGGCGCGGGAUUCGCGACGUUUACUUUGAAAAAAUUAGAGUGUUCAAAGCAGGCAGUCGCUUGAAUAUCUCAGCAUGGAAUAAUAGAAUAGGACUUUGGUCUUAUUUUGUUGGUUUCCGAGACCGAAGUAAUGAUUAAUAGGGACAGUUGGGGGCAUUCGUAUUUCAUUGUCAGAGGUGAAAUUCUUGGAUUUAUGAAAGACGAACUUCUGCGAAAGCAUUUGCCAAGGAUGUUUUCAUUAAUCAAGAACGAAAGUUGGAGGCUCGAAGACGAUCAGAUACCGUCCUAGUUCCAACCAUAAACGAUGCCGUCUGCGGAUCGGAGGUCGCUCAUGUAAGGCUCCUUCGGCACGCUAUGAGAAAUCAAAGACUUCGGGUUCCGGGGGGAGUAUGUUCGCAAGAAUGAAACUUAAAGGAAUUGACGGAAGGGCACCACCAGGAGUGGAACCUGCGGUUUAAUUUGACUCAACACGGGAAAACUCACCAGGUCCAGACAUAGGAAGGAUUGACAGAUUGAGAGCUCUUUCUUGAUUCUAUGGGUGGUGGUGCAUGGGCCGUUCUUAGUUGGUGGAGUGAUUUGUCUGGUUAAUUCCGUUAACGAACGAGACCUUAACCUGCUAAAUAGUGACACGGUUCUUUGAACCGUGGCUCACUUCUUAGAGGGACUAUCGGUUUCAAACCGAUGGAAGUUUGAGGCAAUAACAGGUCUGUGAUGCCC